GAUGAAGAACGUAGCGAAAUGCGAUAAGUAAUGUGAAUUGCAGAAUUCAGUGAAUCAUCGAAUCUUUGAACGCACAUUGCGCCCGCCAGUAUUCUGGCGGGCAUGCCUGUCUGAGCGUCAUUUCAACCCUCAUGCCCCUAGGGCGUGGUGUUGGGGAUCGGCCAAAGCCCGCGAGGGACGGCCGGCCCCUAAAUCUAGUGGCGGACCCGUCGUGGCCUCCUCUGCGAAGUAGUGAUAUUCCGCAUCGGAGAGCGACGAGCCCCUGCCGUUAAACCCCCAACUUUCCAAGGUUGACCUCAGAUCAGGUAGGAAUACCCGCUGAACUUAAGCAUAUCAAUAAGGAGGA
rnacentral:misc_RNA from 1 species